rnacentral:lncRNA from 1 species
GAUCAUUAGGAAGCCCAGCAAAAGUAAGAACUAGAAACAUCUUUUGUCGCUGCUCUUGCUGCUUUGCAACACUAGCAGAAACUGUCAUCAACGUCUCAAAUUCCUCCAUAACUACCUGUACUUGUCCUAAGUAAGUAGACAUAUCUAAUUCCUGUUUCUUUAAAUUUGUCAUCCGCGAUAUCACAUCAUAGAAACGAGAUAUGUCAUUAGUGUAUAAAGUACGAGCCU